rnacentral:lncRNA from 13 species
AGCCGCGGCGCGGCGGGCGGGGGCGGCGGGGGCAGGUGAGGGGGCGCGGCCCGGCGCUCCCCCCUUCCCUCCGCCAGUACCAGCCGCGGGGCGGCCGCCGCAGCGGGCGGAACAAAUAGUACUUUUUCUUUUCUCUCCCUCGAUAUUUUCGCUCCCUCAAUCAUACCCCGCGGGGACCGGCCGUGUUCCCUCCAGUUCCCCCGCGCUGAUCGUGGCCCGGGUUUUCAUUACGGCGUUCCGAGAAUCCCAUUUUUAGGGAGGCGGGGACUUCUCCUGGGCCGGGCAGGACCUGCACCAAACCAGCUACACACACUGACUGACAAAGGUAAGAGUUUCCUUACUAUUGAGUUUGGAGCUUUCCCUGGUGACCUGCUGCUGUCAAAAAAGGUUGGUAAAAGCUUGUUGAGGGGGAAGUACCAAACUGAUGGCCAGACCUAGGUGCUAAAAUGUCCUACUCUGUUUAAAAAAAACAAAGGGCUCAAGUCACAUGCUGAAUUUGAAACACCCGUGGAGCUGGUUUCCAGGCAUUGGAAUGACAUAUAAGUCACCCAAACCCUUCUGGUUUAGUUUGCUACAUUUUGCACCUCCAUCCCUCCAAAACAAACAAACAGACAAACCAGAACAUAAAAAUAAAGCUGCUAAACUACAGUGGUCUUAAGGGGUCAGUCACUACAACUCCCAAGUCCCACAGUUCAGGCUGGCUAUUUCAUUUGGAAGCUUGAGAGACUUUAGUUGGUAGGAGAAGGAAACCAGUAGAAGGAAUUUGAUGUAAAUAGAGCAAGUGGGGAAAGGGUAAUGCCCUAAAUGUGGAACAGUAUUGUAAAUAUCUGAGGCAAUAUUGGGUUGUAUACAUUACUAGAAAAGUAUAUAUUGAGGGUGCAGAGUCCUUUUGAAAGACACACAUCUCAAGGUAAGCCAUAAAUGGGUGUGGUAGUCCUUGCUUCAUCUUUGAUUCGGUAUUUAAGAGCUUUGCAGUAUAAAAUAUACCUCGAAGACUGGGUGUGUACAAGUGUAAUCUCUGCAAAUGUUGGCAAGACAGUUACUGUUGUCAGGUUUAUUCUGGCUUUAGUAUGCUGAGGUAUUUAUGAGGACUGAAUAGCAGAACUGUCACAGCCAAAUACCAGGUCGUCACUGGGUAUGUCAGAGCACAAUGACAUGAUGAUUACUGGUCACAGUUUCUGUCACUUAUUUGGUACAUUGAUGUCACCAACAUACCACAAAGGUAAAUUAUAUUAAAAUACUGCUUUCUCUGAGCAAUUUUGUAGCAGAACUGUAAAGUACAAACCAUUUUCACAAAGUUUCCUAUUCU